GACGUAGGGCGCGAGCGUUGUCCGGAUUUAUUGGGCGUAAAGAGCUCGUAGGCGGCUUGUCGCGUCGUCCGUGAAAACCUGCGGCUCAACUGCAGGCUUGCGGUCGAUACGGGCAGGCUGGAGUUCGGUAGGGGAGACUGGAAUUCUUGGUGUAGCGGUGAAAUGCGUAGAUAUCAAGAGGAACACCUGCGGCGAAGGCGGGUUGCUGGGCCGACACUGACGCUGAGGCGCGAAAGCCAGGGGAGCGAACGGG
rnacentral:rRNA from 1 species